rnacentral:rRNA from 1 species
UACGUAGGGUGCGAGCGUUAAUCGGAAUUACUGGGCGUAAAGCGUGCGCAGGCGGUUUUGUAAGCCCGAUGUGAAAUCCCCGGGCUUAACCUGGGAAUGGCAUUUGGGACUGCAAGGCUGGAGUGUGGCAGAGGAGACUGGAAUUCCUGGUGUAGCAGUGAAAUGCGUAGAUAUCAGGAGGAAUACCGAUGGCGAAGGCAGGUCUCUGGGCUGACACUGACGCUCAUGCACGAAAGCGUGGGGAGCAAACAGG